rnacentral:rRNA from 1 species
CCUACGGGUGGCUGCAGUGGGGAAUAUUGGACAAUGGGCGAAAGCCUGAUCCAGCCAUGCCGCGUGUGUGAAGAAGGCCUUCGGGUUGUAAAGCACUUUCAGUGGGGAAGAAAGCCUUGGGGCUAAUACCCUCGAGGAAGGACAUCACCCACAGAAGAAGCACCGGCUAACUCCGUGCCAGCAGCCGCGGUAAUACGGAGGGUGCGAGCGUUAAUCGGAAUUACUGGGCGUAAAGCGCGCGUAGGCGGUCUGAUAAGCCGGUUGUGAAAGCCCCGGGCUCAACCUGGGAACGGCAUCCGGAACUGUCAGGCUAGAGUGCAGGAGAGGAAGGUAGAAUUCCCGGUGUAGCGGUGAAAUGCGUAGAGAUCGGGAGGAAUACCAGUGGCGAAGGCGGCCUUCUGGACUGACACUGACGCUGAGGUGUGAAAGCGUGGGUAGCAAACAGGAUUAGAUACCCCAGUAGUC